UGGGGAAUAUUGCGCAAUGGGCGAAAGCCUGACGCAGCGACGCCGCGUGAGGGAUGAAGGUUUUCGGAUCGUAAACCUCUGUCAGAAGGGAAGAAACCGCACUGUGCUAAUCAGCAGUGCCUUGACGGUACCUUCAAAGGAAGCACCGGCUAACUACGUGCCAGCAGCCGCGGUAAUACGGAGGGUGCAAGCGUUAAUCGGAAUUACUGGGCGUAAAGCGCACGUAGGCUGCUUUGUAAGUCAGGGGUGAAAUCCCACGGCUCAACCGUGGAACUGCCUUUGAUACUGCUUAGCUUGAAUCCGGGAGAGGGUGGCGGAAUUCCAGGUGUAGGAGUGAAAUCCGUAGAUAUCUGGAGGAACAUCAGUGGCGAAGGCGGCCACCUGGACCGGUAUUGACGCUGAGGUGCGAAAGCGUGGGGAGCAAACAGG
rnacentral:rRNA from 1 species